UAGCAAAUAGCCUCUGGCUUGUGAGUUGAGGAGCAGUUUGAACUAGUUCUGAAUAAUAAUGGGCGUCUGAUAUGCUGUUUUUGGAUGGCCGGCAAUUAUGUUUCUGCCAUUUGGAAUUUGUAGGUUUAAUGACGAUAGGUAUGUUUCUGCAGUGUGAGUCUAUGUGCAAAGCUGAUUCCAUCACUAUGUGUAUAAGGGGGCAUUGUGUGUGUAGGGGAUGUAGUGUACUUUUGCUGGUGAUGCAGUGUUGGUGCUGGGGAUAAAAUGUGUGUAUGUGCGGUAGUGAAUGUACCCUCAAUGCUUUCAGCCAAACACUUGAAACCUCUCUCUCUAUGUUACAAUGCUCUUCUCCAGGGGCCUGCAAAAGACAAAAUGCCCUAUAU